ensembl:lncRNA
CUGCCAUCUUCCCACCCUGCAGCACCCACAGAAAGCCAAACAUGGAUUUGGGAAUCACUCUAAAACCCUAUGGCUUGGUUUGGACCUGUGACCAAGCCACACCACCCUCCAUACCUGCUGGCUCUGCAGGUCCCCAGUGCCUGAGGGCAGUGAUUUGGGUCAUUUUCCUGCAUUUGUCCACCUUUCCCAGGAGUUUCUCAGAGUCCAGAUGCCCCAGGGGUGCAGCAGGAUCUUUUUUUCCCCCAGACAUUUUGGAGAGCAUCACCCUCCCAGCCCAGCCCUCCACAGUCAAAUAUCCUUGGGAUGCCUCCGAGCAGCGUCCCUUACCCCCGGAGCUGCCAAAGCAAUGGGAAGUCCCUUGAAGAGAGGUUUGAUGUGGCAGCUUGGAGCUGAUAAGCCAUUGAUUUCUUCUCCUUUUUGGGCUGGAGGAGAUUGUCAGCCCAGGGAGACGAUAGCGAGGCAGGGAUGAUAACAGCACAGGCUGCUGGAGGAUCCUGGCAGGCAGCUCCUGCAGCCCAGGGUGGGAUGUCCAGACAAAAACACGCUUCAAUUUCUCUUCCCAGACUGAGACAUCCCAGAUAAAACCCUUAUCUGGCCUUCUCUCCAAUCAAUGAGAUGCUUCAGCCUCGCUCAGAGCGCGGCAGGGCAGCAACAGCUUUAUCAGGCCGGGCAGGGAUGGGGAGUUUGUCCCCCCAGAGGUGCCUCGGUGUGUCCCUGGCACGGUGGCACUGCCAGCCUGCAGCUCCAGGGAGGAUGAAGAUGCCAACCCAGCCCAGCCCGGAGAUGCCUCCACGGGGAAUUCAUCGAGGCAAAGGUGAACACCUCCAGCUCUCCCAGAGCAGAGGGGCUCCAGCCCUGGCAUCCACUCUGUGUCCUCCUCCUCUCAUUCCAACAGUUCCAGGUCCUUCUGGAGCGACACAACCUGAGAUUGGUUCCAUCACCUUGAGGGACCCCACAACACCUGCAAGUCAUCUCUGCACAGAUCAGCCUCAUCAGCCUUGCUGUAAUUAGGAGCUGUUUAAGCCUCGGGUUGAGGCUUCAGUAAUGGGUUUGAGGGAUCCAACUCCACCACAACACCACUAAUGACACUCUGUAAUUAGCAAAUAUGCAAAGGAUCUCAUUUUGGGGAGUUUCCUCUUUGGACAAGGGGAAGUUGCGGGAUGGUGGAGGUGGGAUCAAGGGCCAGGGCACAGGGAAUGGAUUCCCAUGGGCAGGGAGGGAGAGCUGGGAUGUUGGGAAGGAAUUCCUGGCUGUGAGGAUGGUGAGGACCUGGCACAGUUAUCCCAUGGCUGCUCCAUCCCACAUAAACCCACAGAAUCCCCCAUAAAGAACCCAAGGCCUGCUUGGAGCAAGCUGGGAUAGCAGAAGGUGGCCCUGCCAUAAACUCCAUGAUCUUUAUGUUCCCCAGCACAUUCCCUGAUUCCCUGUCAGGAAUCCCAAGAGGAUGCCAAACUCCUUAUUUAUGUGUUCAAGCUUUUAUUUAACCUCCCUCAUACUUAGGAUUUUAGCUUUUAUAUUUUUCAAAUCCUGUACUGCAUUAGUGUGUAACUCUGAACGCCACACAAAGUGUUCACAUUUGUUUUCACAUUUCGGUCAAACAAAACAAUCCCUCUCAGCCUGAAAUUCAAGGGAGUGAAUUCAUUAAUUCAGGUGACUUCAUUACCUGAAGCUGUAAUUGGAGAAUGUAAAUGGACUAAACUUAUAAUUGUGUGAAAAAGUCAUGACCACUGUUCAUCUUGGGAUACUUUUGUACCUAUUGAAGGCCUUUAGGAAAUACCUGUUGGAGUCAGAGGCACAGAGUAUGUGCCCUUAUCUCUAAUACCUAACUCUGACACCCAAGAAAACACUGAAUUUCAUAUAACACAGUAAAAGUAAUUGUUAAAUAAAAAAACUAAGAGUGCAAGUGUGUAAAUUUGA